ACCUCUCGUAUUCCAUGCUGUAUCAUUUGUAGCUGUACCUCAUGGUAAUAUUAGUUGCAUUCAGCCGUUGAAGAGGGUGAGACUGUUCAGUUUGGAUAAAGUUCAUCCAGUAGAAUGUAUGGAUGAUGGAAGCACAUUUUGGAGGCUCAAGCUACUCAAUUGUGAUAACACAUCAAAAAUGUAAUUGGGAGGUAAAGGUCAUCCAGUGUUACAAACAAUGUAUAGAGAUGUUCUAGAAAUAAAUAGUGCAGUGUCCAGUGAAGAGUAAAAUUGGUGGCAAUACAUGUACAACAGGAAUGGGCCUUGCCUAGAUGAAAGAAUAAGAAAUGAAACAAGGGGAUGUUCUGGAAGAGCUGGGUUCUUCAACAAAAGG